rnacentral:lncRNA from 1 species
GUACCUUGUGGUAUGUUUUGCUUAACAUCAGGAAUUGCUUUCAGCAUUUGCUGAGCUCCAGGAACAGCAAGUAAGCUGUAUUGAAAACACCAGUGUCCUUAUAAUUUUAUAAACUGUUCUUCUGUGGAAAAUAUUUGUGAUUUCUUCCCAGUUUGCCACUGAGAAGUUUUUAUAUAACUGAAGCAGCUUAAUCUGAAAGAUGAAAGCUUUGUUUGCUUCUUCAGAGAAGGUGGAGGUGAGAAGCUCUGUGAAGCAUGAGGAAUGGAUGUCUUUGUGAUGUACUGGUUUGGUGUUUUUUUUUUGUUUUUUUGGGGUAGGAUCUUUCACAAUCAGUAGAUUCAUAUUUAAAACAUGAUGUCAGGGUGACUUCUCUUAAAAUGCAAAAAGCUAUACAUUCUCAUACAACAACCUACUGAGGUCUGUUGUAGACUGCUGCAGAAAUACAGAGAUGUAGAAAUGUGUAGAUACUGUAGAAAAAUGAAUCCUGCAGAAUUUGUUCUUAGAGGAUUUGCUUGCAUUCCAUUUUUUAAUCCAGCCUUUGAUCCUCUUUUUCUAUUGUAAUGAAUAUUUUUAAUCAAAUAUUUAUUUUAUGGGCUGGCUUUGUCACAUAUUAAAAAAUGGCUAAAGUGAAAUUGAUAGAGCUUUCUGCCUUGCUUCAGUUUGAAUUAGAGUUAGUGGGAGCCCUCAGCCCUUACUGAAUUCUUUUUCUGCCAUCUUUUGCAGGAAAUGGUGGGUAGAAAUGUCAGCAGAGCUCAGCAAGAAGCAGAAGAUACCAAAGUUUCUGUCUUUUUAAAACUUAUCUGCUUAGGGAAAAGGAGGCAAUUAGUGUUUCAGCUCUCUUUCAGAAUCGUGUAUUGAAACUGUAUUCAACUGAAGAAAUGAUUCUUAAUAGCUCACCUGAUCUAAUCUGUACUGACCAGUCUUUCAGGCAGAGACAUGCACAUGGAGCACAACGCAGUCUUGCAAGUCCUGCUGCAUACUAUUGUUGCCUCAGGAAAGCUGCUCCUUCAGCCUCCUGCAGGACCACAACAGGCAAAACAAAACACAACCCCUCAGUUGUAGUUGGACUCUUCUGCGGAGAGGACAUGGUGCUGUAAACUGAUUUCUUUGGGAUGAACUCUGCCUUCCUUCCCCCCACCUCUGGAUUAAAAUAGAGCAGUUUGAUAGCACAGCAGCAAAUUCACAUUAAUAUCAAACAGAAUUUCCACUACCGUUUUCAUAUUAACAUGAGAUGCCAGAAUGUAAAGUUAGCUAGAUCUGCACAUGGGACCAUUCUUGCUGUUAAAGGCUUUAGGCUGGAACGGAGCCCAAAAUUUUUAAAAGAAAUGAAACAUUUCCAGAUCAAAUAUUAAUUACAUGCUAUAUAGAAUCAUAUUUUUCAAACAAAUUUUAUAAAUAAAAAGCUAGGCCUUUCAAACCA